rnacentral:rRNA from 1 species
GAUGAACGCUGGCGGCGUGCCUAAUACAUGCAAGUCGAGCGAACAGAUGAGGAGCUUGCCCUCCUGACGUUAGCGGCGGACGUGUGAGUAGCACGUGGAUAACCUACCUAUAAGACUGGGAUAACUUCGGGAAACCGGAGCUAAUACCGGAUAAUAUAUUGAACCGCAUGGUUCAAUAGUGAAAUGCGGUUUUGCUGUUACUUAUAGAUGGAUCCGCGCCGCAUUAACUAGGUGGUGAGGUAACGGAUUACCAAGGCAACGAUGCGAAGCCGCCCUGAGAGGGUGAUCGCCCACACUGGAAUGGGGAAACGGUCCAGCCUCCUACGGGAGGCAGCAUUAGGGAAUCUUCCGCAAUGGGCGAAGGCCUGACGGGGCACCGCCGCGUGAGUGAUGAAGGUCUUCGGAUCGUAAAACUCUGUUAUUAGGGAAGACGAAAUGUGUAAGUAACUAUGCACGUCUUGACGGUACCUAAUCAGAAAGCCACGGCUAACUACGUG